CCAAUUUAUGGGUGACCUUUUGGCUAAGAUUAAUUGUAGUAUUGUUCUUAUCAGUUUAAUAUCUGAUAUAAAGAAUUAAAUUAAUUUUUUAUGAAGGAGAUUCCGUUAUAGACGUAAGGGCGACACUCGAGAACCCAAAUAAUUCGGAUUUUCAAAGUGGCAAGUACUUUAUACUAAUGACUUUGCUUUAGCAUUUU